rnacentral:lncRNA from 1 species
AUCUCCACAGGGAGUAUUGUUUUCAGGUCAGGGCAGUGAACCUGACGUGGUGAUACUCUGUAUUCAGCACAGGAUGAGUUACUAGCCUCGGCCAUCGAGCAAACUGCUGGUUGCUGAACCUUUUUCACCUGGCGAUUUGAGAUGCUGAAUUUCUGAAGCAGAAACUGGCACCGGCUACAGUAAAAUUUGGCAGAGAAAUACAGUAAUGGUCUAAUGGACACAGCAAACAAAAGCGCACACACACCAGUCUGAUGCCAAAAAACAAAU